UGUUCUUCGUGACAUGGCGUACUGCUCAGUAACACGUGGAUAACCUGCCCUUGGGUCCGGCAUAACCCCGGGAAACUGGGGAUAAUUCCGGAUAACGCACAUAUGCUGGAAUGCUUUAUGCGUCAAAUGGAUUCGUCUGCCCAAGGAUGGGUCUGCGGCCUAUCAGGUAGUAGUGGGUGUAAUGUACCUACUAGCCGACGACGGGUACGGGUUGUGAGAGCAAGAGCCCGGAGAUGGAUUCUGAGACAUGAAUCCAGGCCCUACGGGGCGCAGCAGGCGCGAAAACUUUACAAUGCGGGAAACCGUGAUAAGGGGACACCGAGUGCCAGCAUCAUAUGCUGGCUGUCCGGGUGUGUAAAAUACACCUGUUAGCAAGGGCCGGGCAAGACCGGUGCCAGCCGCCGCGGUAACACCGGCGGCCCGAGUGGUGAUCGUGAUUAUUGGGUCUAAAGGGUCCGUAGCCGGUUUGGUCAGUCCUCCGGGAAAUCUGACGGCUUAACCGUUAGGCUUUCGGAGGAUACUGCCAGGCUUGGAACCGGGAGAGGUAAGAGGUACUACAGGGGUAGGAGUGAAAUCUUGUAAUCCCUGUGGG
rnacentral:rRNA from 1 species